rnacentral:rRNA from 1 species
ACAAGGUUUCCGUAGGUGAACUGCGGAAGGAUCAUUACAGAGUUCAUGCCCGAAAGGGUAGACCUCCCACCCUUGUGUAUUAUUACUUUGUUGCUUUGGCGAGCUGCUCUUCGGGGCCUUGUAUGCUCGCCAGAGAAUAUCAAAACUCUUUUUAUUAAUGUCGUCUGAGUACUAUAUAAUAGUUAAAACUUUCAACAACGGAUCUCUUGGUUCUGGCAUCGAUGAAGAACGCAGCGAAAUGCGAUAAGUAAUGUGAAUUGCAGAAUUCAGUGAAUCAUCGAAUCUUUGAACGCACAUUGCGCCCCUUGGUAUUCCGGGGGGCAUGCCUGUUCGAGCGUCAUUUCAACCCUCAAGCUCAGCUUGGUAUUGAGUCCAUGUCAGUAAUGGCAGGCUCUAAAAUCAGUGGCGGCGCCGCUGGGUCCUGAACGUAGUAAUAUCUCUCGUUACAGGUUCUCGGUGUGCUUCUGCCAAAACCCAAAUUUUCUAUGGUUGACCUCGGAUCAGGUAGGGAUACCCGCUGAACUUAAGCAUAUCA